CGCCCGCCGGGGUUCCUGGCGAUGCGAUUUUUUACCGUCUCGCCCAAAAUCACAUUGCCAGGGAUUUCCAACGGGNN
rnacentral:pre_miRNA from 1 species